CCUACGGGAGGCAGCAGUGAGGAAUAUUGGUCAAUGGGCGCGAGCCUGAACCAGCCAAGCCGCGUGAGGGAGGACGGUACAGUGGAUUGUAAACCUCUUUUGUCAGGGAACAAAAGCCGCCACGCGUGCCGUUCCGAGAGUACCUGAAGAAAAAGCAUCGGCUAACUCCGUGCCAGCAGCCGCGGUAAUACGGAGGAUGCGAGCGUUAUCCGGAUUUAUUGGGUUUAAAGGGUGCGCAGGAGGAAUAUCAAGUCAGCGGUAAAAAUUCGGGGCUCAACCCCGGCGUGCCGUUGAAACUGACGGUCUUGAGUGGGAGAGAAGUAUGCGGAAUGCGUGGUGUAGCGGUGAAAUGCAUAGAUAUCGCGCAGAACUCCGAUUGCGAAGGCAGCAUGCCGGCGCCACACUGACGCUGAGGCACGAAAGCGUGGGUAUCGAACAGGAUUAGAUACCCUAGUAGUC
rnacentral:rRNA from 1 species